AUGAGGACCCUCACCCUCCUCGCUGCCAUUCUCCUGGUGCCACUCCAGGCCCUGGCUUGAGCCACUCCAGGCAAGAGCUGACUAGGCUGCAGCCCAGGAGCAGCUUGGGGCAGACCACCAGGACUUUGCCAUCUCCUUCACAGGGGACAUAAGCUCAGGUUUUAGAGAUUCAGGCUCAGCGACGGGCUUGGUCUGCUAUGGCAGAAUAUCAGGCUGUCAUUUUUCCAAACACCGCUAUGGGACCUGCACCAAUAGUGGGAUCAUGGAGCACAGAGGAAAAUGUGUUCAUCAUUUGCUUUGA